rnacentral:rRNA from 2 species
UGGGGGAUAUUGCGCAAUGGGGGCAACCCUGACGCAGCAACGCCGCGUGAAGGAUGAAGGUUUUCGGAUUGUAAACUUCUUUUAUUAAGGACGAAACUUGACGGUACUUAAUGAAUAAGCUCCGGCUAACUACGUGCCAGCAGCCGCGGUAAUACGUAGGGAGCAAGCGUUGUCCGGAUUUACUGGGUGUAAAGGGUGCGUAGGCGGCUUUGCAAGUCAGAUGUGAAAUCUAUGGGCUCAACCCAUAAACUGCAUUUGAAACUGUAGAGCUUGAGUGAAGUAGAGGCAGGCGGAAUUCCCCGUGUAGCGGUGAAAUGCGUAGAGAUGGGGAGGAACACCAGUGGCGAAGGCGGCCUGCUGGGCUUUAACUGACGCUGAGGCACGAAAGCGUGGGUAGCAAACAGGAUUAGAUACCCUGGUAGUCCACGCUGUAAACGAUGAUUACUAGGUGUGGGGGGUCUGACCCCUUCCGUGCCGGAGUUAACACAAUAAGUAAUCCACCUGGGGAGUACGGCCGCAAGGUUGAAACUCAAAGGAAUUGACGGGGGCCCGCACAAGCAGUGGAGUAUGUGGUUUAAUUCGAAGCAACGCGAAGAACCUUACCAGGUCUUGACAUCCAACUAACGAAGUAGAGAUACAUUAGGUGCCCUUCGGGGAAAGUUGAGACAGGUGGUGCAUGGUUGUCGUCAGCUCGUGUCGUGAGAUGUUGGGUUAAGUCCCGCAACGAGCGCAACCCUUGCUAUUAGUUGCUACGCAAGAGCACUCUAAUAGGACUGCCGUUGACAAAACGGAGGAAGGUGGGGACGACGUCAAAUCAUCAUGCCCCUUAUGACCUGGGCUACACACGUACUACAAUGGCGUAAACAAAGGGAAGCGAGCCUGCGAGGGGGAGCAAAUCCCAAAAAUAACGUCUCAGUUCGGAUUGUAGUCUGCAACUCGACUACAUGAAGCUGGAAUCGCUAGUAAUCGCGAAUCAGAAUGUCGCGGUGAAUACGUUCCC